rnacentral:rRNA from 1 species
UACGGAGGGUGCAAGCGUUAUCCGGAUUCACUGGGUUUAAAGGGUGCGUAGGCGGGAAUGUAAGUCAGUGGUGAAAUCUCCGUGCUUAACAUGGAAACUGCCAUUGAUACUAUGUUUCUUGAAUUUUCUGGAGGUUAGCGGAAUAUGUCAUGUAGCGGUGAAAUGCUUAGAUAUGACAUAGAACACCAAUUGCGAAGGCAGCUAGCUACAGGGAUAUUGACACUGAGGCACGAAAGCGUGGGGAGCGAACAGG